AUUGAACGCUGGCGGCAGGCCUAACACAUGCAAGUCGAGCGGAGCGGCGGACGGGUGAGUAAUGCCUAGGAAUCUGCCUGGUAGUGGGGAUAACGUCCGGGAAAGGGGCCUAAUACCGCAUACUAUCAGAUGAACCUAGGUCGGAUUAACCAGGUGGUGGGGUAAAGGCCUACCAAGGCGACGAUCCGUAACUGGUCUGAGAGGAUGAUCAGUCACACUGGAACUGAGACACGGUCCAGACUCCUACGGGAGGCAGCAGUGGGGAAUAUUGGACAAUGGGCGAAAGCCUGAUCCAGCCAUGCCGCGUGUGUGAAGAAGGUCUUCGGAUUGUAAAGCACUUUAAGUUGGGAGGCGUUACCAACAGAAUAAGCACCGGCUAACUUCGUGCCAGCAGCCGCGGUAAUUC
rnacentral:rRNA from 1 species